rnacentral:rRNA from 1 species
GCCCAUGGCCAUGGCACCCUGAACACACCGGAUCUUGUCUGGUCUCGGAAGCCGAGCAGAGUCGGGCCUGGUUACUACUUAGAUGGGAAACUAAGCUGAAUUUCAGACAGGAGGUAUAUGAA